rnacentral:lncRNA from 1 species
GAACGCGAGUUUGGAGAAGGUCGGAUUGAUCAAGGCUAGCUUUGUCCCAACAAACAAAGUGACCGACGAUGAAGUGGAGAAGCUCUAUCAAAUGGGGAAAUACGACUUCCAAGCACCACCUCUCUUCAUGCUCAUAUUGUGCACCCUUUACUUGCUUAAUCUUGCUUCCUUCGUCGUCGGAUUUGUGAAGAUUUUGCAGAAUGGGAAGAUGAUGAAUGAGAUGGUGAUGCAGGCUUUUCUACCAUUGUUUGGCGUAGUUCUGCAUUUGCCUUUGAUGGAAGGGAUGGUGUUGAGGAAGGAUAAAGGCCGAGUUUCGCCGCCGGUGGCGCUUCUUUCAGCUGUAAUUUCCUCUCUAGUUUUGGCUUAUGCAGCCCUUGUUCAUUAAUAUCAUGCAAGCUAGUGUAUGCUUUGGUUAUUUGUUGUCUCGUUACGGGGUGUUAACUUUGGAGGAUUAGUCUAUAAUAAGGUUAAUCUCCUUUUAUCUUGAUGAAUUGGAACUUUAAGAUAAGACCCUUGAUUAUUUUUAUCAUUUAAGUUAAUUUUGUUUGAUUUUUAUUCCAUCGAAAUGCUAGGAUUAGAGAAUUUCUAGUCUUUGUGAUAAAAAAUACUCAAUCAUGCAUUUUAUUCAUUUUAUAUUGUGUUUUAAUAUAUUCAUCCAAUUAGAAUCUAUAUAUAAUUAUUUUUUAUAUUUAUUUGAAUUACUAAUGGCUUAAUUAAUUCAAAAUCUUCUUAAAUUUCAGUUUUUAGUGAUAAUUAUCAAUUAAGUUCAUUAUGUAUAAAUAAUAUAAUUUUUAAUAAUAACGAUUUAUAUAUAAAAAAAUUAGAAUGUGACACAAUAACACACGAUAAAUUAUGGAAAAUAGGAUCUCCUCCGUUCAACUAACUAGUGCGCCUGAUGGUGUCUCGCACAUCAUGACAUAAUUUAGUACUGCCUCUCUCUAUGAAAAAGAGUUUUAUUUUCCCUCAUUUUUUGUCCACGGAAAAGAGUAAAAAGGAAGUAGGACACUUGUUAUGGGAUGAAGGGAGUAAUAAAUAUUGUACACAAGUAAUAACCUCUGAUCAGGAUCGGUCAUGUAUCUCAUAGAACCCUAAGCAAAAAAUUGAAAAUGGGCUUUUAUAAUUUUCUUUUAUAUUAACGAUACAACAAUAGUAUAUUUCAACCAAUUAUUUAAGAGAGUUUUGAAUCAAUAGAGAAGAAAACAUAAGGUACUAAGAAUUCAACAUUAAUGGUUUGCUCUAAAUGACGAAAAAAAACUUUCAUAAGACGAAGCACUGUAAAUAGUACCUUAUUAAUUAGCAAAAAUAUUUUUAUAUAUAUACUAUUAAUAUAUAUAAAAAAAAAUAGGACCCCAAAAAUUAGGGUCCUAAUAGCGGCAGCAUAUCGAGCAUGUGUUCAGGUACUCGCCUGUCUCUCAUCAAUCAUAAUCUUUUAUAAAUAAACAGCUGUCUCUCACCAACCAUAAUCUUUUAUAAGUAAACAAAUACUCAUAAAGUCAUAAAUAGAACUAGAGCUAGCACUACUAAUCACUGAGGAAGAAAAAAUAAAAAUAAAAAAAUUAAGAGAUGGAGAAAUCACUCCCUCUUCCUCUGAAUGAUUGGCAAGUUCAGAAAAGAAACAGAGCAAUAAACAGGCUCCAUGGUUUCAUCCAUGGCGGUGCCCUAGCUGCCCUAUUUUACUACAGAAUCACAACCAUCGCCGCCAUAGCCAAAAGCAGCAGCUCCAUUCUUCCCCACCUUCUCAUCUUCGCCGCCGAGCUCACUCUCUCAUGCAUGUGGCUGCUCAGCCAGGCUUCGCUGUGGAACCCGGUCACGCGAAACGCCUACCCGGAGAGGCUGCCCGGAGACGAUAAUCUGCCCGCCAUCGACGUGUUCGUGUGCACCGCCGAUCCCGCGAAGGAGCCGAGCUUGGGUGUGAUGAACACCGUGAUAUCGGCCAUGGCGCUCGACUACCCGCCGCACAAGCUCCAUCUCUAUCUCUCCGACGACGGGGGCUCCCCGUCACGCUCCGCGCCCUUAGACGGGCGCGGAGCUUCCGCGAAGCUGUGGAUUCCGUUUUGCAGGAAGUUUGGGGUGAAGAAUAGGUGCCCUCAGGCUUAUUUCUUGAGAGAGGAGAUUGGUGGCAAUGGUGAUCACUUCUUUGUUGAGAAGAAGGCAAUCGAGGUUUGUCUUCUUGCACAAAAAUAGUAAAAUAUAAAUAUACAGUACUCUCUUUAUCUCAUGACCUAAUUUUUUUUAUACAAUUAAUUAUUAAGAAAAAUAAGAUUAUAGUGUAAAGUAUGUGGGCCUCUAAUCUAUUAUAAUAAAAAUUUGUUAAUUACCCAAAAUGGAAAUAUGCCAAGUCGGAUGAAUUGUUCCAAAAAGAAAGUAGGCCAGUGAAGUGGGACGGAGGGAGUAUAUCUCUCUACUGUCGGUGGUCACCAGUUACUCACCCCUUUAUAAUUCUUGAAAAUUGUGGUUUUUCUUAUUUGGAAAUAAUCCCAAAAACUUUCGCAUUGACUAUUUACAAAAAAAUGUGAAAUUCAAUUUCCACUCAAAAAUAUAACCAUAUAUUUUUUUUCUUAAAAAUCAUGCUACUUUCUUCAAACCACAUUUUUAGUGACCGAGGAAUAUCAUCCACAUUAUGGAGAACUAUAUGUAUAAGUCUAUUUCGAUACUUGAAAGUUGAGAUAUAUUUGAUUAUUUGGCAUUUAUUUUUAGUAGCUAAAUGGUAUGUGCGACAUAUUAUGAUGAAGUUAAUUAAUAUAUAGUGCAAUUUUAAAGAAUUUUAUAUAUAAAAUGAAUUCUUUUUUUUAACUAUAUAUAUAUAUAUAAUGAAUUAUAUAUAUGUAUGUACAUACAUUACUAAAUCAUUUUUUGUAAAUUAAAAUAUAUAAGAAUAUUAUUCUUUUAUACAUUAAUACUAAAACCAGCCUGUGUUAAUUACUUCUACUUUGUAUAAUGCAGAAAGCGUACGACGAUUUCAAGAUUUCUUUGGGCAAGAUUGUUGCUGAAGCUGACGUUGGGGCCAGCAGGGACCAUGCACCAAUUAUUGAGGUAUUAAAAAAUUAUUUAAUGUGGUCAAUAGUUUUGUGGUUUGGAAUAAUUAAUUUUUAUAUAAAAAUCUAAUACUAUAAAGUUUUGCUAAACGACGAAGAUCUCCUCGGCAGUUUAUGUUUGUGAGAGUGAGAUAUUGUUUUUUGAAGGGAAACGUUACUAAAGAAUACAUGUGAAUAUUUUGUUAAUUAGAAGAUAAUUAAUGAUUUCCAUAUUUAUUUUAAUAGAUUAUACAAGAGCUGCUGAUUUCACGUGAGUCAAUAAGCACAAUAUAUACAAUUAUACAAAUGUGUGAGUUCAUAAGCGAAAUACAAAAUAAAUUAACACGAAAUCGACAUAUCAUAAAAUUACAGGGUGAUUUUCGUGGGACGGGAUUCAGUGUCUCAUAAUUUUAUAUGGGUCACUAUAUCCCACUAAUAAUAAUAAUAAUAAUAAUAAUAAUAAUAAUAAUAAUAAUAAUAAUAAUAAUAAUAAUAAUAAUAAUAAUAAUAAUAAUAAUAGUAGUAGUAGUAGUAGUAGUAGUAGUAGAUGUGGAGCCAAAGUGCGCACCCAUAUAAUAUAUGUAUGCGAAGAAACUAACCUUAAAAUGAACAUGAAAAAGCCUCUCAUACAAAAACAUGACAAUAAUUUCACUCGAAAUAAAAGAAAACCCAUGUUGCAUAGGUACGGAGGUGCGGAUGCGGGGGCGAUACGAUACGAGUACGAGGAUACGGGUUUUUAAAAAUUAUAGGGUACGAUUCGGCAAUGAUACAUCUAAUUAUUAAAAUUUUAUGAUAUAUAAUGCUUAUAAAAUAAAGAGUUAUAUUUUUACGAUAUGAUAUAAGCAUUUUCAAUUAUAUAAAUUAAUUGAGCAACAAUAUAACGAUUCAAAUAUUAUUAGUCCAAUAUAUAAGUUAUAACUGAAAAUAAAAUUAUCAACAUAGCCUUGUGUAGGCCUUUCGUGCACGAGAUACGUGAAUUUCGCAGAUAAAAUUUGCGAAUCCGGUUUAUUUUUAUAAAUUAUUUUAAAAGAUAAGCAGGGCUAAUCGGGUGCGAAUACGACGAGAAUCCGAGAGAAUCGCAUUCUAAAAGAAUCCGAUUCGUCAUACAUGUUAAUUUUUGAAGAAUCCGUGCACUAUAGAAGAAAACAUGAUCCUUCGACAACAUAAAAAUUUCCUUAAAAAAACCUGAAUCUGUUAUACUUCCUUCGUCCCACGAAGCAUGACGCAGUUUCCUUUUUGUUCUGUCUCACGAAGCAUGACACAUUUCUAAAAAUGACAAAAAAUUUACCUUUUAUUCACAUUUUCACUUUUUCACCUACCAUACUUAACACAUAAAAUACCAAUUUCUUGAUUCUCGUGUCGAAAAGAAGUGUGUCAUACUUCAUGGGAUGAAGGAGGGAGCAUUAAGGGGUGAGAAUUAGGGGCGAGUUACUCAACCAAAAAAAAAAGAAAAAAGAAAAAAAUAACAGAAAGGUGUGAGUAAGGUUGGGCAAUAAUUGGGGCGGGGGAAUAUUCCGGCGGGCGGUGGAGCACUAUGUACAUUGGGCAGUGGCCGCCUUGGGAAGUGAGAAUUCUUUUGACAGCAAUGCUUAUUGUUAUUACUGUCGUCUCUGAUUUUGGUGGGGUUUAAGGGAUCAUUUUCUGCCGCCUGCCCCCCCUCUACACUAGCACUAGCCCCUCCCCAAUUUUCUCACUCUCCCAUUCCUCAUCAUUUUAUUCUAUUCUUUUCUCGUUUUUUUAUUUAUUUAUUUUAUCGUAUUCCUAAAUUUCAAGAACCAUGUUACGCAACUUCUUACCACCAAAAUCCAAAAUACCUCCAUUAAUCAAUACCGCAAAUUAUUGGGUCGCCCCGCGCUCAUGCCCAUUCGCACUCCUGACCCGCACGUUUUUGACUCGCGUUUUAUAUUAUUAUAUUUACUAGUACGCCCGUCUGUGCGAUGCACAGAGAGCAUCAAAAUUGAGCGACAUAUUUUUUAAGUCGUACAAUACACAGAUUAUGAUAUAUUUUUAUUAUAUAUAUAUAUAUAUAUAUAUAUAUAUAUANUUAUUUGUCCUUUAAAAUUUACAAGUAAAUAAUUCAUAUAUAAUUACUUAUUAUUAUUAUUAUUAUUAUUAUUAUUAUUAUUAUUAUUAUUAUUAUUAUUAUAUUUAUUAUUAUUAUUAUUAUUAUUAUUAUUAUUAUUAUUAUUAUUAUAUAAGGUGGAAGAUUUGUUAGGAUCUUCUUUACAGUGAUUGAAACAAUUAAUAAGUCGAAACGUGUAUAGAUCCACGAAUAUGUAUACUACAUGCAAGAUUACGACUUUAAACUCACUCAAUUUAAGUUGGUGUAUUGUUUUUUCCGAAAGGUGAAACAUCUAUUAUUGGAAAGCAUAGAAUAAAAAUCUAUUAAUGCAUGUCUACUUCAAUACAGAUUUUAUUUCACACGUAAAUAAUAUAUGUAUAUAUAUAGAUAUACGUAAUACUCAUCAUCUGGCCCACGAAUCUUGAGUCAAUUUCCUUUUUCGGUCAUCCCACGAAUCUUGAGUCAUUUCUACACGAAUCUUGAGUCAUUUCUACAUGUAGUAAAAAAUGAGAAAAAAAGGGAUUCUAAUUAAACUUAUACUCCCUCCGUCCCACCAUUUUAGUCCCCUCCCACUUUUCACACAUAUUAAGAAAAUGUAUUUAAUUUUUAUAUUUUUAUCUUUUAUACCCUUAUUUAUUAUUUUCACACAUCAUUUUCACAUUUAAGUGAAGCAUUAAAUAAGGUUAAUUUAGUAAAAACAAUAUUUUUAUAUAGUAUUAAUUAGAAAAGUGGACUAUCUUUUUGGGACAUCUCAAAAUGGAAUAAGAGACUAAAAUGGCGGGACGGAGGGAGUAUUAAUUAAUAAAAUUGCGUACUUCCAAUUAAUAAUCAACGGCUAAUAUUGACAGGUGAUCAGCGAUGCAAAUUCCAACGGUACGGAUUCGAGCAGCAAUGAAGAGAUGCCGUUUGUCGUUUACGUUGCUCGCGAAAAACGGCCAUCUCACCCCCACAAUUUCAAAGCAGGGGCCCUCAACGUUCUUGUAAUUAAAUUCACACACAUAAUAUUCCUAAAUCUUUUAAUAUUCAGUUUUUUAUCCCAUUAUCUUAAGUUUAUAAAGUAUGACAUUUUUCAUAUACAACAUCAAAAAUAGGGCAUUUUUGCCUGUUAACACUAUACGAAACCUAUUAACUCUAGGAAUGCAAUAUGUUGAAAUUCAUGGCUUUUAAUUUGUAUAAAAUAAGAGAAGAGAAAGAGAGAUUCAAAGAUAAUAUUUUUUUAAUAUAUUAUGCCUUAUUUUCCCAUGAUAUAUUUAUCGAUAAAAGAGAACACAUUCUUAUGGUACAAUCGAUUCAUAUUUCCAAUAUGCUGAAUUUCUCACUGAUAUUUUUCAUCUCCCAAAUAAAUACGCAUUUGAGAAUGACACGAGUUUCAAAAAAUAAUUGAGUGUGCGAGUAGGGAAUAAGGGUCGUCUCGUUUAUUGUGAGUGGGUAGUGUUCAGUUUCGAGUAUCCAUUUUUAUUGUGAAUGGAUUGUGUGCAGCUCCGAGUAUCGGGCAUGAUCAGCAAAUCGCCGUACAUCUUGACGCUGGACUGCGACAUGUACUGCAACGAUCCGACGUCGGCACGUCAAGCGAUGUGCUUCCAUCUCGACCCUAAACUCUCCGAGAAUCUUGCAUUUGUGCAGUUCCCACAACGAUUUCACAACAUCAGACGCAACCCUGAUAUCUACGAUGGUGCCGUGAGAUUCAUUUGGGUAAGUAAUUAACUAACAAUAUUACAUUUAUCAUGUUACAACUAUGGAUAAUUUUGCAUUAUUUUGAUUAAUUUGCAUUGAUUUCAGAAAAAAUGGGAAGGCUUCAAUGGUCUUCGAGGGCCAGUCUUGUCGGGGACGGGGUUUUAUAUAAAGAGAGAAGCACUCUAUGGAACUCGGAAGCUUCAAUCAAGUAAUGUCACAAAUUUGGCUCAUCACUGCAUUUUGUGUGUGAAAAUUGAGCAACUUGUUCAAUCUCGUAAAUUUAUUCAUCAUAUUUUUUUUAUGUAGCGUAGACUGAUUUGGAAAUUAGGACAAAAACUAAUGGGCUUGCAAAAGCAUAGGACAUUAAUUAAUAAGACAUAAGUGCACUCGCAGAAAAAUUCUCAGCCCAUUUUAAGAGUUUCAGACUUAAUAAUUCCAAACUAAAAUGGGCCGAAAACUAAAUUUUCAAAUUUAUAAAAAUAGGACACUAAUUUAAAUGGGCCGAGAAUUGUCUUAGUGGUGCAAUAUAACUAUACUUUUGCAAAUCCAAUAGGUCACUCUCUGCUGAUUGAUGAGUUAGAGUUUUCAAAUCAGUCUAAGUUGUUGUCCUAAAAACCCUCUAACUCCCAGAAAUCACUAACGGGCUAGAACUAUCAUUAAAUCAAUUUAUGAGACUAAACGAGUGUAUUUUACCUUUUUGGUACCAUCAUUUAUUUGUAUAUUGAUUGAUUUUACACCUCGCUUCUUUUACUUUUUCGAGUAGAUGUUGAUCUUAACGAGCUCAAGAAGUAUUACGGCUCAUCCAACGAGUUCAUCAAGUCGAUUUAUAGAAAUUACAAACUAAAUAGUCGAAGCAAUGCAUUGCUCAACGAUGAGGCAUUCAAGCAAGAGGUGCAAUUGGUAGCUUCAUGUAGCUAUGACAAUGGCUCACAAUGGGGGAAAGAGGCAAGUUCUAAUUUUAUUCCAACUAAUAUUCUAGUUACAAUAAUGAGUUGUAGAGAGAGAUGUUCAAUUAAGAAUACUAAAUGUGUUGAGAAUUGGUAAUUCGUACGAACAAUUGUGAACAAGUUAUUUAUUUUGAUGAGCAAUCGUUUUGGUCCGAGGUUCAAAUUCUGGAGGUGACGAAAUAUUUAAAUAGAUACGUUUGUUCAUCACUUGUAUUGGUAUGUUCGACAAACUUAUCGAUUUUGUUCAUUAUACUUAUUUCUUACGAAAAAUCAAAUUCCAAAUAAAAUCUAACCCUUUAAAUCAAAAUGGAUGCAGGUUGGGUAUAGAUAUUUUGCGGUAGUGGAAGAUUAUUUCACAGGUUUCAAUCUGCAUUGUGAAGGCUGGAUUUCAGUGUAUGUUGAUCCCUCAAGGCCAUGCUUCUUGGGCACAUCUCCUCUAAGCCUAGGCGAAAUUCUUGUGCAAAACACACGAUGGUUUCUUGGAUUAGGUCAGGUUGCUCUGUCCAAAUAUUCUCCCAUGUUCUACGGGGCACUGAGAAUGUCGAUUUUGCAAAGCAUGAUCUAUGCAGAGGUAGCAUGUUAUGCCGUUUACUUCCUUCCCGUUUACAUUCUAGCCCUCGUUCCUCAGCUCUGUCUCGUUCGCGGCGUCCCUCUCUAUCCUGAGGUAUGCAGAGAGUCAAAAUUCAUUUAAGAAUGCUAUAUCAGGAUUGUCCGCAGAAAUAGGUCAAUUUUUUUUCGAACUUGUAGAAUUAUGUUCAUUGUCUUAAAUUUCGGCACUCGUGGGUAACAUUUUGACUCAAUUCAGCAUCCGUGAGACACAUUUGGGCCCAUCUGAAGUGCAAAAUAAUCUCAUUGAGCUCAAAUAUGGCCCACGCGCGGAGUAAGAGGUUUUUUAGGAUAUUGACUUAGACUAAGUUGGUUUGAAUAAAAAAUUUCGAACUUGCAAAAGUACGUAGGACACUAAAUGCAUCCAAAAGACAAUUCUCGGUCCAUUUUAAGAGUUUCUGGCUUAUUUGAAACUAAAAUGAGCUGAAAGUUAAAUUUCCAGGCUUGCAAAAGUAUGACACUAAGGCUCGAGAAUUGUCUUUUACGGGUGCACUACUUAUUAACUAAUGUCCUACACUUGCAAAUCCGAAUUUUUUUUUUGUCCUGAUUUUGAAAUUAGUCCAAGUUAGUGUUCUAAAAAAACCUAUAACUCCCACGGAUGCUGGAAUUUAAAAUAAUUGAGCAAUUUAUGUGAGCUCGAAAAAUUGGUCUAUUUUUGCAAAUCGGGCUCUAGUAGCUUAUUUUUGUCAAACACUUCCCAGGAGCUUACUCGUUGCUUAUGGUUGCAGGUUUCGAGUCCAUUCUUCGCGGUGUUUGUGUUUGUUUUCUUGUCGUCGCAGCUGAAACACGCGCAAGAGGUGUUGGCGUCGGGGGAUUCGAUCAAGACUUGGUGGGCGGAGCAGAGGGUGUGGAUGAUGAAGUCAUUGACAUCUUACUUCUUUGCUGCCGUGAACGCGAGUUUGGAGAAGGUCGGAUUGAUCAAUUCUAGCUUUGUCCCAACAAACAAAGUGACAGACGAUGAAGCAGAGAAGCUCUAUCAAAUGGGGAAAUACGACUUCCAAGCACCACCUCUCUUCAUGCUCAUACUGUGCACACUUUACUUGCUUAAUAUUGCUUCCUUCGUCGUCGGAUUUGUGAAGAUUUUGCAGAAUGGGAAGAUGAUGAAUGCGAUGGUGAUGCAGGCUUUUCUACCAUUGUUUGGCGUAGUUCUGCAUUUGCCUUUGAUGGAAGGGAUGGCGUUGAGGAAGGAUAAAGGCCGAGUUUCGC